ACCUUGGUGCUCAUAGCGUAGUGGAACCACUCUGAUUCCAUUCCGAACUCGGCUGUGAAACGCUACAGCGGCAACGAUACUAAAGGGGAAGCCCUUUGGGAAAAUAGCUCAGCACCAAGGUUUUAUUCUUUAUAAAAAAAAAUCUUU
rnacentral:rRNA from 1 species